rnacentral:rRNA from 1 species
UACCAGCACCCCGAGUGGUCGGGACGAUUAUUGGGCGUAAAGCAUCCGUAGCCGGUUUUACAAGUCCUCCGUUAAAUCCAGCUGCUUAACAGAUGGGCUGCGGAGGAUACUAUAAGACUAGGAGGCAGGAGAGGCAAGCGGUACUCAGUGGGUAGGGGUAAAAUCCGUUGAUCCAUUGAAGACCACCAGUGGCGAAGGCGGCUUGCCAGAAUGCGCUCGACGGUGAGGGAUGAAAGCUGGGGGAGCAAACAGG